AUAACAAUAGGACCGUCGGUCUACCGAGCAAUAUUACCAGCUCAGUGGAAGAUCUUCCCUUCCUCGU
rnacentral:pre_miRNA from 1 species